CUCCGGUUGAUCCUGCCGGACCUGACUGCUAUCGGAUUGGUACUAAGCCAUGCGAGUCGUUGUAGCAAUACAAGGCGGACGGCUCAGUAACACGUAGUCAACCUAACCUAUGGACGUGGAUAACCUCGGGAAACUGAGAAUAAACCGCGAUAGAUCAUUAUGCCUGGAAUGGCUUAUGGUUCAAACAAUUUAUUGCCGUAGGAUGGGACUGCGGCCUAUCAGCUUGUUGGUGAGGUAAUGGCCCACCAAGGCUAUAACAGGUACGGGCUCUGAGAGGAGAAGCCCGGAGAUGGGUACUGAGACACGGACCCAGGCCCUAUGGGGCGCAGCAGGCGAGAAACCUUAGCAAUGUGCGAAAGCACGACUAGGUUAAUCCGAGUGAUUUCUGUUGAAGAAAUCUUUUGUCAGUCGUAAAACCACAGACGAAUAAGGGGUGGGCAAGUCUGGUGUCAGCCGCCGCGGUAAUACCAGCACCUCGAGUGGUCAGGAGGUUUAUUGGGCCUAAAGCAUCCGUAGCCGGCUACGCAAGUCUCCGGUUAAAUCCAGCUGCUCAACAGAUGGGCUGCCGGAGAUACUACAUAGCUAGGGAGCGGGAGAGGUAGACGGUAUUCUGUGGGUAGGGGUAAAAUCCACUGAUCCAUAGAGGACCACCAGUGGCGAAGGCGGUCUACCAGAACGCGUUCGACGGUGAGGGAUGAAAGCUGGGGGAGCAAACCGGAUUAGAUACCCGGGUAGUCCCAGCUGUAAACGAUGCAAACUCGGUGAUGCAUUGGCUUAUGGCCAAUGCAGUGCCGCAGGGAAGCCGUUAAGUUUGCCGCCUGGGAAGUACGGACGCAAGUCUGAAACUUAAAGGAAUUGGGCGGGGAGCA
rnacentral:rRNA from 1 species